rnacentral:rRNA from 1 species
AUGAACGCUAGCUACAGGCUUAACACAUGCAAGUCGAGGGGCAGCAUGAACUUAGCUUGCUAAGUUUGAUGGCGACCGGCGCACGGGUGAGUAACACGUAUCCAACCUGCCGAUGACUCGGGGAUAGCCUUUCGAAAGAAAGAUUAAUACCCGAUGGCAUAGUUCUUCCGCAUGGUAGAACUAUUAAAGAAUUUCGGUCAUCGAUGGGGAUGCGUUCCAUUAGGUUGUUGGCGGGGUAACGGCCCACCAAGCCUUCGAUGGAUAGGGGUUCUGAGAGGAAGGUCCCCCACAUUGGAACUGAGACACGGUCCAAACUCCUACGGGAGGCAGCAGUGAGGAAUAUUGGUCAAUGGACGAGAGUCUGAACCAGCCAAGUAGCGUGAAGGAUGACUGCCCUAUGGGUUGUAAACUUCUUUUAUACGGGAAUAAAGUGAGGCACGUGUGCCUUUUUGUAUGUACCGUAUGAAUAAGGAUCGGCUAACUCCGUGCCAGCAGCCGCGGUAAUACGGAGGAUCCGAGCGUUAUCCGGAUUUAUUGGGUUUAAAGGGAGCGUAGGCGGACGCUUAAGUCAGUUGUGAAAGUUUGCGGCUCAACCGUAAAAUUGCAGUUGAUACUGGGUGUCUUGAGUACAGUAGAGGCAGGCGGAAUUCGUGGUGUAGCGGUGAAAUGCUUAGAUAUCACGAAGAACUCCGAUUGCGAAGGCAGCCUGCUGGACUGUAACUGACGCUGAUGCUCGAAAGUGUGGGUAUCAAACAGGAUUAGAUACCCUGGUAGUCCACACAGUAAACGAUGAAUACUCGCUGUUUGCGAUAUACAGUAAGCGGCCAAGCGAAAGCGUUAAGUAUUCCACCUGGGGAGUACGCCGGCAACGGUGAAACUCAAAGGAAUUGACGGGGGCCCGCACAAGCGGUGGAGUAUGUGGUUUAAUUCGACGCAACGCGAAGAACCUUACCAAGUCUUGACAUCCUGCGACGCACAUAGAAAUAUGUGUUUCCUUCGGGACGCAGAGACAGGUGGUGCAUGGUUGUCGUCAGCUCGUGUCGUGAGAUGUUGGGUUAAGUCCCGCAACGAGCGCAACCCUUAUGGUCAGUUACUACGCAAGAGGACUCUGGCCAGACUGCCGUUGACAAAACGGAGGAAGGUGGGGAUGACGUCAAAUCAGCACGGCCCUUACGUCCGGGGCUACACACGUGUUACAAUGGGGGGUACAGAAGGCAGCUACACGGCGACGUGAUGCUAAUCCCUAAAGCCUCUCUCAGUUCGGAUUGGAGUCUGCAACCCGACUCCAUGAAGCUGGAUUCGCUAGUAAUCGCGCAUCAGCCACGGCGCGGUGAAUACGUUCCCGGGCCUUGUACACACCGCCCGUCAAGCCAUGAAAGCCGGGGGUACCUGAAGUGCGUAACCGCGAGGAGCGCCCUAGGGUAAAACUGGUGAUUGGGGCU